AAAUUUAAUAAAUAAAAUUAGUGUAAUUCAGAAAACUGCAUUUUUCAAAAGUACCACAAAAAUAUCAUUAUACUAAGACUAAUUUUAACAUUUCAUAAUUUUUUUUAUAUAAAAUAUCUACUUACUAUAAUAUAAUUUAAUAUUUGAUCAUUCAACUAUUUCGCUAUUGCAGGGUCUCAUUUGUCCAAACAAUAUCAUAUAAAAAUCUGUUCAUAUUUUUUGCAUCUGAAAUAAUCUGUUCAGACCAGUUUUUUCU
rnacentral:lncRNA from 1 species